rnacentral:rRNA from 1 species
AGCGUAGGCGGACUUUUAAGUGAGAUGUGAAAUACCCGGGCUCAACUUGGGUGCUGCAUUUCAAACUGGAAGUCUAGAGUGCAGGAGAGGAGAAUGGAAUUCCUAGUGUAGCGGCGAAAUGCGUAGAGAUUAGGAAGAACACCAGUGGCGAAGGCGAUUCUCUGGACUGUAACUGACGCUGAGGCUGAAAGCGUGGGGAGCAAACA